rfam:Marininema halotolerans strain DSM 45789 genome assembly, contig: Ga0104500_103
AAAAAAAAUAGCCCCCCAAUGUGGAGGACUCAUGGUAUCUGGGAUGACCCAGAUACUGAAUGGGAGAGGAGAAACCGGAGGAAGAGCUUAUGGGGAAACGUAAGUCUUCUCCGCGG